GUCCACGCCGUAAAACGAUGUCAACUAGCCGUUGGGCUCUUUAAGGGCGCAGUGGUGCAGCUAACGCGAUAAGUUGACCGCCUGGGGAGUACGGUCGCAAGAUUAAAAACUCAAAAUGAAUUGACGGGGGCCCACACAAGCGGUGGAGUAUGUGGUUUAAUUCGAUGCAACGCGAAGAACCUUACCUGGCCUUGACAUGUCCGGAACUUACCAGAGAUGGUUGGUGCCUUAGGGAACCGAACACAGGUGCUGCAUGGCUGUCGU
rnacentral:rRNA from 1 species